CAGGCUACCACUAGGUAAUAGUGACACACGUCAGGCUACCGCUAGGUUAUAGUGACACACGUCAGGCUACCGCUAGGUUAUAGUGACACACGUCAGGCUACCGCUAGGUUAUAGUGACACACGUCAGGCUACCGCUAGGUUAUAGUGACACACGUCAGGCUACCGCUAGGUAAUAGUGACACACGUCAGGCUACCGCUAGGUUAUAGUGACACACGUCAGGCUACCGCUAGGUUAUAGUGACACACGUCAGGCUACCGCUAGGUUAUAGUGACACACGUCAGGCUACCGCUAGGUUAUAGUGACACACGUCAGGCUACCGCUAGGUAAUAGUGACACACGUCAGGCUACCGCUAGGUUAUAGUGACACACGUCAGGCUACCGCUAGGUUAUAGUGACACACGUCAGGCUACCGCUAGGUUAUAGUGACACACGUCAGGCUACCGCUAGGUUAUAGUGACACACGUCAGGCUACCGCUAGGUUAUAGUGACACACGUCAGGCUACCGCUAGGUUAUAGUGACACACGUCAGGCUACCGCUAGGUUAUAGUGACACACGUCAGGCUACCGCUAGGUUAUAGUGACACACGUCAGGCUACCGCUAGGUUAUAGUGACACACGUCAGGCUACCGCUAGGUUAUAGUGACACACGUCAGGCUACCGCUAGGUUAUAGUGACACACGUCAGGCUACCGCUAGGUUAUAGUGACACACGUCAGGCUACCGCUAGGUUACAGUGACACACGUCAGGCUACCGCUAGGUUACAGUGACACACGUCAGGCUACCGCUAGGUUACAGUGACACACGUCAGGCUACCGCUAGGUUACAGUGACACACGUCAGGCUACCGCUAGGUUACAGUGACACACGUCAGGCUACCGCUAGGUUACAGUGACACACGUCAGGCUACCGCUAGGUUAUAGUGACACACGUCAGGCUACCGCUAGGUUAUAGUGACACACGUCAGGCUACCGCUAGGUUAUAGUGACACACGUCAGGCUACCGCUAGGUAAUAGUGACACACGUCAGGCUACCGCUAGGUAAUAGUGACACACGUCAGGCUACCGCUAGGUUAUAGUGACACACGUCAGGCUACCGCUAGGUUAUAGUGACACACGUCAGGCUACCACUAGGUAAUAGUGACACACAUCAGGCUACCACUAGGUAAUAGUGACACACGUCAGGCUACCACUAGGUAAUAGUGACACACGUCAGGCUACCACUAGGUUACCGUGACACACGUCAGGCUACCACUAGGUAAUAGUGACACACGUCAGGCUACCACUAGGUUAUAGUGACACACGUCAGGCUACCACUAGGUAAUAGUGACACACGUCAGGCUACCACUAGGUAAUAGUGACACACGUCAGGCUACCACUAGGUUAUAGUGACACACGUCAGGCUACCACUAGGUUAUAGUGACACACGUCAGGCUACCACUAGGUAAUAGUGACACACGUCAGGCUACCACUAGGUAAUAGUGACACACGUCAGGCUACCACUAGGUUAUAGUGACACACGUCAGGCUACCACUAGGUUAUAGUGACACACGUCAGGCUACCACUAGGUAAUAGUGACACACGUCAGGCUACCACUAGGUUAUAGUGACACACGUCAGGCUACCACUAGGUUAUAGUGACACACGUCAGGCUACCACUAGGUUAUAGUGACACACGUCAGGCUACCACUAGGUAAUAGUGACACACGUCAGGCUACCACUAGGUAAUAGUGACACACGUCAGGCUACCACUAGGUUAUAGUGACACACGUCAGGCUACCACUAGGUUAUAGUGACACACGUCAGGCUACCACUAGGUUAUAGUGACACACGUCAGGCUACCACUAGGUUAUAGUGACACACGUCAGGCUACCACUAGGUAAUAGUGACACACGUCAGGCUACCACUAGGUAAUAGUGACACACGUCAGGCUACCACUAGGUAAUAGUGACACACGUCAGGCUACCACUAGGUAAUAGUGACACACGUCAGGCUACCACUAGGUAAUAGUGACACACGUCAGGCUACCACUAGGUAAUAGUGACACACGUCAGGCUACCACUAGGUUAUAGUGACACACGUCAGGCUACCACUAGGUUAUAGUGACACACGUCAGGCUACCACUAGGUAAUAGUGACACACGUCAGGCUACCACUAGGUUAUAGUGACACACGUCAGGCUACCACUAGGUAAUAGUGACACACGUCAGGCUACCACUAGGUUAUAGUGACACACGUCAGGCUACCACUAGGUUAUAGUGACACACGUCAGGCUACCACUAGGUUAUAGUGACACACGUCAGGCUACCACUAGGUUAUAGUGACACACGUCAGGCUACCACUAGGUAAUAGUGACACACGUCAGGCUACCACUAGGUAAUAGUGACACACGUCAGGCUACCACUAGGUAAUACAGUUACAUAUCAGGACAUUAUGUUUUACAAUAUAUCGUAUCCUAUCGUUUUGACAAUAUCACAAUAUUAUUUUUGCGCUUGUUGGCUGUACCUGCACCAAAACUCCAGUAAUUGUUCCUUCAUAGUUUGUUCUCC